CUUUACACUGCACGACAGUGCGAUAAGGGGACCCCGAGUGCGAGGGCAUACAGUCCUCGCUUUUCUGUACCGUAAGGAGGUGCAGGAACAAGGGCUGGGCAAGACCGGUGCCAGCCGCCGCGGUAAUACCGGCAGCCCGAGUGAUGGCCGAUCUUAUUGGGCCUAAAGCGUCCGUAGCCGGCCGAACAAGUCCGUCGGGAAAUCCACCCGCUCAACGGGUGGGCGUCCGGCGGAAACUGUUCGGCUUGGGACCGGAAGACCCGAGGGGUACGUCCGGGGUAGGAGUGAAAUCCCGUAAUCCUGGACGGACCACCGAUGGCGAAAGCACCUCGGGAGGACGGAUCCGACAGUGAGGGACGAAAGCUAGGGUCUCGAACCGGAUUAGAUACCCGGGUAGUCCUAGCCGUAAACGAUGCCUGCUAGGUGUGGCACAGGCUACGAGCCUGUGCUGUGCCGUAGGGAAGCCGAGAAGCGGGCCGCCUGG
rnacentral:rRNA from 1 species